rnacentral:rRNA from 1 species
UACGAGUGCCCCGAGCGUUAUCCGGAAUCAUUGGGCGUAAAGGGCGUGUAGGUGGUUCUGUUAGUCUUCCGUUAAAUUCUUCGGCUUAACCGGGGGCAUGCGGGGGAAACGGCAGAACUUGAGGAUGCGAGAGGUGUGUGGAACUCUAUGUGUAGGGGUGAAAUCCGUUGAUAUAUAGGGGAACACCAAAAGCGAAGGCAGCACACUGGCGCACUCCUGACACUGAAACACUAAAGCGUGGGUAGCGAAUGGG